UACGUAGGGGGCUAGCGUUGCUCGGAAUCACUGGGCGUAAAGGGUGCGUAGGCGGGCCUUUAAGUCCGGGGUGAAAUCCUGGAGCUCAACUCCAGAACUGCCUUUGAUACUGAGGAUCUUGAGUACGGGAGAGGUGAGUGGAACUGCGAGUGUAGAGGUGAAAUUCGUAGAUAUUCGCAAGAACACCAGUGGCGAAGGCGGCUCACUGGCCCGGUACUGACGCUGAGGCGCGAAAGCGUGGGGAGCAAACAGG
rnacentral:rRNA from 1 species